rnacentral:misc_RNA from 1 species
UAAUUUGUAAAGGUAUCAACUGAGAGAAGGAAAUUUAGACUAUUUGUUCUGUCCAUGGAACCCUUAUCCCUGUUGCAGAUGUAUGAUCUCAUAUCCCAAAAUUUAAAUUAGGAUCAUGCUAAACACUUGGACACUGUUUCAUCCAACCAGGGGCGGAUUUACUUGUAUAAUAGUGGGGUCAAUUGACCCCACUGAAUUCAUGAAAAUUUUUUAAAAUAUAUACAUGUUAGGAAAAUUCCAUCCAAAAAUUAUAAAAUGACUCACUUAAAAAUAAAUAUCAUUUAACUUUUUUUUAAAAAAUAAUUAUAUAAAGCUGAAGUAUCAUCAAAUAAAAUAAAGUUAGCCUGACUUGGUCCAAUAACUAAAGGCAUGUGCUAGG